rnacentral:rRNA from 1 species
AUGCCCUGGACGGCCGUCACGAGGUCCCGCAGGAUGCUGGUCAUCUCCUCCGGCAUGAAUACCGAGGUUGUCGGCGGUGGCGCGGGGGAGACGGGAGCCGGCGGCGUUGGGGCCCCCGCUGUGGCGCUCGGCCCCGGCAGCGUCGGAGCUCCGUUGGUGGUCAUCGGGGGGGCGGGCAGCGAGGCGGUGGUGCCGGAGGGCAGCGGCGGCGUGAGUGAUGGAGAAGACAUGGUCAAACCCGAGUCUCUGGAUACCAAAUUGGUAGAACCAAGGGUCCUACCGGACCUGCUCCGGAGGUUGUAG